rnacentral:rRNA from 1 species
GACGAACGCUGGCGGCGUGCCUAAUACAUGCAAGUAGAGCGCAGAGGGUAGGUACUUGUACGCACCGGCUGAGCAGCUGACGGGUGAGUAACGCGUGGGGAAUCUGCCUAUGAGCGGGGGACAGCAUGUGGACACGAAUGCUCAUACCGCAUAACAACAUUAUACACAAUAUUGCAGGUUGAAAGAUGCAAUUGCAUAAUUCAAAGACUAUCCCGCGUUGUAUUAGUUAGUUAGUGAGGUAAAGGCUCACCAAGGCGAUGAUACAUAGCCGACCUGAGAGGGUGAUCGGCCACAUUGGGACUGAGACACGGCCCAAACUCCUACGGGAGGCAGCAGUAGGGAAUCUUCGGCAAUGGACGAAAGUCUGACCGAGCAACGCCGCGUGAGUGAAGAAGGUUUUCGGAUCGUAAAACUCUGUUGGUAGAGAAGAACGUUGGUGAGAGUGGAAAGCUCAUCAAGUGACGGUAACUAACCAGAAAGGGACGGCUAACUACGUG